AAUGAACGUUGGCGGCGUGGAUUAGGCGUGCAAGUCGUGCGGAAAGGCUCCUUCAGGAGUACUCGAGCGGCGAAAGGGAGAGUAACGCGUGGAUAUCUACCCCCUGGUCUGGGAUAGCGGCGGGAAACUGCCGGUAAUACCAGAUAAUGUCUGCGGACCAAAGGUGUGAUUCCGCCGGGGGAUGAGUUCGCGUCCUAUUAGCUAGUUGGUAGGGUAACGGCCUACCAAGGCAAAAAUGGGUACCGGGUGUGAGAGCAUGGCCCGGCUCACUGGGACUGAGACACUGCCCAGACACCUACGGGUGGCUGCAGUCGAGAAUCUUCGGCAAUGGGCGCAAGCCUGACCGAGCGGCGCCGCGUGCGGGAUGAAGGCCUUCGGGUUGUAAACCGCUGUCAGAGGGGAGGAAAUGCGUAGGAGUUCUCUCUUACGUUUGACCUAUCCUCAGAGGAAGUACGGGCUAAGUUCGUGCCAGCAGCCGCGGUAACAC
rnacentral:rRNA from 1 species